GUGGAAGUGUCACUGGUGGGGCCGCGUGGCCUAAUGGAUAAGGCGUCUGAUUCCGGAUCAGAAGAUUGAGGGUUCGAGUCCCUUCGUGGUCGCUGCAAUGUUUGCUUUUCUCCCUCGCUUUUAAAUUUUCCCUCUGUCGGGACGGCGCCCUCCGCGGAGUCUUAGGAGGCUCGGGCGGUGUCCCCGUCGCGCCGCCCCGCCCUGCCACACCCGGGAAGUCGCCCAGCUCCUGCAGGCGCGGAGCCCGGGAGCUAGGGCCUGCUCUACACCCCUGGCGACACCGAGGGAGCUGCGGGGCCCAACGCAGGCCAGAACCCGAAGCCACCGCAGCGAGUCCGAGAACCUCAGACGAGCUAGCCGGAGGAGAGCCAUUGCGGAGGGCGCUUGGGACAGAGACCUCAGGCCCCUGGGCUCCGUUGAAAGCCGCGGAGACCUGAACCCAGGUAACACCUCCUGUCUACGGGGCAGUGUAGGGAGGAGGACAAGGACAGGGAUGGCACUUUUCCCAGUCGCCGGGCUGGUACCCCUCCUCUCUCCUCUCCCAUAUUUUGCGUAGCCAAUUCCUUCUUGCUAGUAGUUAUCACCGGAUCCUUAUUCUGCUUCAAGGAGAAGGAAAGGGCUCGCCCAGGAUUUGAUCCCCAGGCUUCUCGCACCCUAAGCGAGGAUCACACACGAGUCAAACGAGCUGAGCGACACCUGUGGCCCCAGAUCUUUGGGCUCCAUCUGCGCGUGCGCGGUCCCUCCGGGGUCGGAGGACGCUCUAGGCCCCGGCCCCGUCGGAGCGCAGGCCGAAUGCGGGUGUUGAGGGACCGGAGGGAGUCUGGGAUGGAGCGGGGAAUCCGUGUGUAACCGGCGGGAACCACGGGGAGGUGACAGAGAGACUGGUUUAGGACCAUUGCGAGACGUCCGUUGUCGGCCCCGGUGGCCUAAUGGAUAAGGCAUUGGCCUCCUAAGCCAGGGAUUGUGGGUUCGAGUCCCACCCGGGGUACGUGGGGUUAAGUUUUAGACUUCCUCUGAGGAAGAAAUGCAAUCCCUCCUCCCCAGUGGAGGAAGCCAAGUUAAGGGUUCUUGGAGGCUAUCCAGAUGUCGUCCUAUGCUAUUAAAUUGGCUGCGACUUAAUUUUCUAAUAACGGGUGCACGUUUCCAGCUUUCAGAGAGGAAUACUUUCUCAUCAUUCCCAUUUUUAAAAUAACCACCCAUUCUACUUGAUGAUAUAAAGGAAUAAUUGUUCAUUUUUCCAGUAUAUUAAUUUUAUUGUGGUUCCAUAUAUUUUUAAAAGUUCUUAAAAGUUCUUUUAUAAACAGACCCAAUUAUUUAAAGAUUAAAUUAUAUGACAGCUGUCGUGCUUUAACACAACGGGCUGAGUGCUGACCAUGGUUAUUAAUACGGUAUUGUAUACUUGCAGGUUGCUUUGAGAGGAGAGCUGAAAUGUUCUCACCACACAGAAAAGGUAACUAUGCGAAGGCUGGAUGUGUUAACCUGACUGUAGCAAAUAUUUCACAAAUGUAUAUGUGUAUCAAAUCAACACAUUGUGCACCUUAAAUAUAUAUCAUUUUUAUUUGUCAAUUAUCUCUCAACAAAGCUAGGGAAAAUAUAAUGGGUUGGUUGGAGGUGUAGAUAAAACAAGGUUAUCUGUCAGUUGAUAAUGGCUUAAGCUGGGGGACAUGAGGACACAUUAAACUAUUUCUCUGCUUUCGUGCAUGUUUGAAGUAGUCCGUAAUAAAGUUUUCUUUCUUUUUUUAAUCCA
rnacentral:tRNA from 1 species